UGUAUAUCCUCUGCUCAACAAGGCCCUGCUUCACUCAGUGACUAUCCAAUCCUCUUAAUUACAGGACUUCAUCAGUAACUGCCUGCCUGCUCGCCCCUGGGCCCAGCUGCUGGUUUCCCUGGUAACUGACGAGACAGCGUGACAUAACUUGCCCCUAUAAAUGGUAGCCUCCUCCUCUCCUGAGUAGCUAAGGCUGUUGCCGUGUCCUGCCUGCCAUCUGCCACACAUGGUGGAGCUGUCAUUCCAGGACCUUUUGCUUCAGACGUCUAAGAUCCCUCGUCCACUAAACCACUGAUGUCUCUGUCGCUGUACCUGGGGUCUUACUCAGGUCUCAAGGCUGAGCAACUACAAGGCUUGCAGGCCUGCGGGGUGCAGCCCAAUAAUUGAUGAGCGGUUAAGAAGCCGAGGAAACUCCUCAGGUACAGGGGACAAACAGAAGAAGAACAAAAUUGGGAAUGUGAAGAGGAAGAGCUAGACAAUACUGCUGACAUGAUCAUUAUGAACCCAGUGUCUACUUUGUCUUUGGCCUCAAGUUGAAUAUACAUGGCAGAAGUCCAGAGGGGGAGCAUGAAGACUCAGGUAGUUGGGGAUGUUUGGAGUCUUUCUACAUCCUUGUUGAUGAGACCAACAUUUUUCACCUGCAAAGACUCUAGGGCCUAGAGGGGCCAAAUACUUGCUUAAAGUGUCAAACCUGCUAAAAUGCCAGGAUUUUGUACUCUGUUUUAACGUAUCUAUGCAUCCAUAUUUUUACUUGUUUCCCUAAAUGUCUGCAUAUCUGUCCACAGCAAGUCAAGCAAUACAGA
ensembl:lncRNA